CCACACGGCGGCGCCGUUAUCUCGCCGGGAGAGGGCAAACUGGCUGUCUCUCCCGGCGAAGAUUAUUUAACUCGAGACCGAAUAGGCAGGAGGCCUCUUUUGGCUGAGUGGAGCGCGGUUCUCGAAGGAUUGCUCCCGCCCGGUUCACUUGGAGACAGUCCAUGCCCCGCCCGAGGUCCCGAACCCCCCGUCGGUACCCUCCACCUCCACUGUCCAGUCGGCCCACCCAACCGGCUCUGGUCCACUCCGCCUCCCGGCCGCUCCACCAUGUUGCCACUUGGACCACGCUAGAUGACCUAGGAGAAGCCAGCAUCAGCUACGUCUCCCGACGACGCUGGCGGGACCAAGCUCGACCCUUGCGGGGAGACCCCCCAUCUGCGAUCCCAGAACCCUUCAGGGGGUUCACCCUUGAGGAACGGUUCCCCUCCGAACCACCAGCACUCUACAGCCCGGAGGAAGUGCUGAGACUGUGCCCCAUCUGCCAGGUGCCCCAAAUUCACACCGAGACCCAUCGCCGUGGGUCCCUCCACCUCGGCCGCACCCAAGGAGCACCAGCCCCGUCUAAUCCGGUGAACCUGCAUGACCUCCAGGCAGCUCUAGCUGUUAUUCGUCGUCUACAGCCGGAACUUUUGGCCCCUUCCCACCAGCUUCCUCGCACACAAGAAGAUCAUCUCCUUGAUCUCCCGGACCUACCGGACAUUUGAUUUGUGACUUGACUCCUUCGCUUAGUGGGGGAAGGUGUGGGAUAACGCGGCCACACGGCGGCGCCGUUAUCUCGCCGGGAGAGGGCAAACUGGCUGUCUCUCCCGGCGAAGAUUAUUUAACUCGAGACCGAAUAGGCAGGAGGCCUCUUUUGGCUGAGUGGAGCGCGGUUCUCGAAGGAUUGCUCCCGCCCGGUUCACUUGGAGACAGUCCAUGUAAGUUCAUAGGAAUGUUUCCCCGUGUACGCUUCCCUGUUGAUUGAUUAAAGAGUUGUGCUUUUCA